GAUGAACGCUAGCUACAGGCUUAACACAUGCAAGUCGAGGGGUAACGAGAGGGAGGCUUGCUUUCCUUGUCGACGACCGGCGCACGGGUGAGUAACGCGUAUCCAACCUGCCCCCAACUAGGGAAUAACCUUGCGAAAGUAAGACUAAUACCCUAUAAUUUCCUCAGAUGUCAUCUGACGAGGAAUAAAGAUUUAUCGGUUGUGGAUGGGGAUGCGUCUGAAUAGCUUGUUGGCGGGGUAACGGCCCACCAAGGCAACGAUCAGUAGGGGUUCUGAGAGGAAGGUCCCCCACAUUGGAACUGAGACACGGUCCAAACUCCUACGGGAGGCAGCAGUGAGGAAUAUUGGUCAAUGGGCGGAAGCCUGAACCAGCCAAGUAGCGUGCAGGAUGACGGCCCUAUGGGUUGUAAACUGCUUUUAUACAGGAAUAAAGUUAGCCACGUGUGGUCAUUUGUAGGUACUGUAUGAAUAAGGACCGGCUAAUUCCGUGCCAGCCGCCGCCGUAA
rnacentral:rRNA from 1 species